UGGGGAAUAUUGCACAAUGGGCGCAAGCCUGAUGCAGCCAUGCCGCGUGUGUGAAGAAGGCCUUCGGGUUGUAAAGCACUUUCAGCGGGGAGGAAGGCGGUGAGGUUAAUAACCUCAUCGAUUGACGUUACCCGCAGAAGAAGCACCGGCUAACUCCGUGCCAGCAGCCGCGGUAAUACGGAGGGUGCAAGCGUUAAUCGGAAUUACUGGGCGUAAAGCGCACGCAGGCGGUCUGUCAAGUCGGAUGUGAAAUCCCCGGGCUCAACCUGGGAACUGCAUUCGAAACUGGCAGGCUAGAGUCUUGUAGGGGGGGGUAGAAUUCCAUGUGUAGCGGUGAAAUGCGUAGAGAUGUGGAGGAAUACCGGUGGCGAAGGCGGCUCUCUGGUCUGUAACUGACGCUGAGGCUGGAAAGCGUGGGGAGCAAACAGG
rnacentral:rRNA from 1 species